AAAAAAAUCCACCAAGAAACAAUACAUUAACAUUUAUCUUUUACCACAAUGUCAAAUAUUUGAUUCCCAAAACAAGGUGUAUUUAGACUCAAGUCAAACCCUUCACUGUAGUCCAGUUAAAUAUCUAUUUCAAAAUCUAGGGCAAUCCAUGGGUUCCUAGACUUGAAAAAUUAAUUGUUUCUUCUGUAUCUUCACAUCUAUUUGACAAAUCUAAUUUUAGUUUUCAAAUUAAUUAAUGUUUUUAAUUAGGAUGUAAUAAAUUGCAAAAUAUAUGCAAGUUUUUGAAGUCCCAAACUGUAUAUACACACACACACAUAACAAUAUCACAGUCUCACCUUCUUUACGUAGAAAACACUUCCACAGGCAGAAGCAGAGAGACAUGACCAACAGAGCUGCUACAGUGGUGACAGAGAUCAGGAUGCAAUUGGCGACUCCAGGCCCUUGUGAUGCACCAGACACUUGACGGACACAUCUUUGAGGAGCCCUGAUUGGACGGUCAGUGUGCUGACCACCAGGGUGGUCCCAUCAUGCUGCAGGAGCUGUGUGGUCACCGGGGGGCCGAUGGUGCGAUUAUCUCCCUCCACGUUCCACACGAUCUCUGCUGGAGGUCGUGACACUAAGAUGUAUUCAUGCAUCCAUAAAAGAAGAAGAAUUGAAUUUCAGGCCAGUGCCAAUAAUACUAUACGACUGAAGACCUUCUCUAUCUGGGCUUGAUGCUGUUCCUCUUUCGUAGUCAAACCCCCAACCUCAAUGGAAAUAACUGUCCUGCCUCAUGACCACUGUUACAUCUGUCGUGUGUGUGUGGAAAGUUCUAGUUACCAUAG